rnacentral:rRNA from 1 species
GAUGAACGCUGGCGGCGUGCCUAAUACAUGCAAGUCGAACGAGUUCUGAUUAUUGAAAGGUGCUUGCAUCUUGAUUUAAUUUUGAACGAGUGGCGGACGGGUGAGUAACACGUGGGUAACCUGCCCUUAAGUGGGGGAUAACAUUUGGAAACAGAUGCUAAUACCGCAUAAAUCCAAGAACCGCAUGGUUCUUGGCUGAAAGAUGGCGUAAGCUAUCGCUUUUGGAUGGACCCGCGGCGUAUUAGCUAGUUGGUGAGGUAACGGCUCACCAAGGCAAUGAUACGUAGCCGAACUGAGAGGUUGAUCGGCCACAUUGGGACUGAGACACGGCCCAAACUCCUACGGGAGGCAGCAGUAGGGAAUCUUCCACAAUGGACGCAAGUCUGAUGGAGCAACGCCGCGUGAGUGAAGAAGGCUUUCGGGUCGUAAAACUCUGUUGUUGGAGAAGAAUGGUCGGCAGAGUAACUGUUGUCGGCGUGACGGUAUCCAACCAGAAAGCCACGGCUAACUACGUGCCAGCAGCCGCGGUAAUACGUAGGUGGCAAGCGUUAUCCGGAUUUAUUGGGCGUAAAGCGAGCGCAGGCGGUUUUUUAAGUCUGAUGUGAAAGCCCUCGGCUUAACCGAGGAAGUGCAUCGGAAACUGGGAAACUUGAGUGCAGAAGAGGACAGUGGAACUCCAUGUGUAGCGGUGAAAUGCGUAGAUAUAUGGAAGAACACCAGUGGCGAAGGCGGCUGUCUGGUCUGUAACUGACGCUGAGGCUCGAAAGCAUGGGUAGCGAACAGGAUUAGAUACCCUGGUAGUCCAUGCCGUAAACGAUGAAUGCUAGGUGUUGGAGGGUUUCCGCCCUUCAGUGCCGCAGCUAACGCAUUAAGCAUUCCGCCUGGGGAGUACGACCGCAAGGUUGAAACUCAAAGGAAUUGACGGGGGCCCGCACAAGCGGUGGAGCAUGUGGUUUAAUUCGAAGCAACGCGAAGAACCUUACCAGGUCUUGACAUCUUUUGAUCACCUGAGAGAUCAGGUUUCCCCUUCGGGGGCAAAAUGACAGGUGGUGCAUGGUUGUCGUCAGCUCGUGUCGUGAGAUGUUGGGUUAAGUCCCGCAACGAGCGCAACCCUUAUGACUAGUUGCCAGCAUUUAGUUGGGCACUCUAGUAAGACUGCCGGUGACAAACCGGAGGAAGGUGGGGAUGACGUCAAAUCAUCAUGCCCCUUAUGACCUGGGCUACACACGUGCUACAAUGGAUGGUACAACGAGUUGCGAGACCGCGAGGUCAAGCUAAUCUCUUAAAGCCAUUCUCAGUUCGGACUGUAGGCUGCAACUCGCCUACACGAAGUCGGAAUCGCUAGUAAUCGCGGAUCAGCACGCCGCGGUGAAUACGUUCCCGGGCCUUGUACACACCGCCCGUCACACCAUGAGAGUUUGUAACACCCGAAGCCGGUGGCGUAACCCUUUUAGGGAGCGAGCCGUCUAAGGUGGGACAAAUGAUUAGGGUGAA